CACCCAGUCAUGGAUUCAGGAAGAGGU
rnacentral:piRNA from 1 species